GACGAACGCUGGCGGCGUGCUUAACACAUGCAAGUCGAGCGGAGCGGCGAACGGGUGAGUAACGCGUGAGUAACUGCCCCCCUCUCUGGGAUAACAGUUGGAAACGGCUGCUAAUACCGGAUAGUGGGGGAUGACUCGCGUCCUAUCCGCUUGUUGGUGGGGUAGUGGCCUACCAAGGCGACGACGGGUAGCCGGCCUGAGAGGGGGACCGGCCACAUGGGGCUGCGAGAGGGCCCAAAGUGCAACGGGGGGCAGCAGGGGGGAAUAUUGCACAACGGGGGCAACCCUGAUGCGGCAACGCCGCGUGCGGGAUGACGGCUUUCGGGUUGUAAACCGCUUUCAGCCAUGACGCGGUAGUGGCAGAAGAAGCACCGGCUAACUACGUGCCAGCAGCCGCGGUAAUAC
rnacentral:rRNA from 1 species